rnacentral:rRNA from 1 species
UACGUAGGCAGCGAGCGUUGUUCGGAGUUACUGGGCGUAAAGCGUGCGUAGGCGGUGUCUCAAGUUUGUUGUGAAAUCUCCCGGCUCAACCGGGAGGGUGCGGCGAAUACUGAGAUGCUGGAGUGCGGGAGAGGUAAGCGGAAUUCCGAGUGUAGAGGUGAAAUUCGUAGAUAUUCGGAGGAACACCAGUGGCGAAGGCGGCUCGCUGGCUCGAUACUGACGCUGAGGUGCGAAAGCGUGGGGAGCAAACAGG